GUGAGUUAGGUUAGUGAAGACUGUCUGUUUUCAAAAUAGGAGGGGGCUAUAUCUUGGCUGCUCGCU
rnacentral:tRNA from 1 species